UGCAUCGGCCGGGAAUCGAACCCGGGGCGCCCGCGUGGCAGACGAGCAUUCUACCACUGCCCAAAAGCAAAC
rnacentral:tRNA from 1 species